AUUGGUUUCGUCAGAGAUUAAUGGUGAGUCCCAAUUCGCAUACUAUCCGUCCUAAAUAGUAUGCGAAACUAGAAUUAGUACGUCCCAAAUCGUAGUAUGUUGAAAAGAGUAUUCCAAAGAUACCCGGAUGGUCUACUAUUUCCGGUUAGAAUUCGAAGUGCAGAUCAAUGCACACUCUAAGUGCUAAUAUUGCCCACAACCCAUUGCGUGCGGGAGGGAGGAGCUUUGCGAUGGCUUUGUGGUGAUGUAAACAUGGCAGCCGGGUGCAGCAGCGGAGAUGCGCCCUCAGCUUUUAAGUAUCCUCUCGCUGGCUCUGGGGUUACUGAGAAGAUGCCCAGGUUACGCACCUCACUUGCAGUUCGCAGACAUGCAUGCUUUGCAUUCAGGGGGAAAAGGAGGGAUCCAUUGAACAAUGGAAACAAAGCACCGAGAGAAAAAUGGAAACAAAACGGAGGUUAGACAAAUGGAGGUAACUGUUUUGGUCAGAGAUUCAGUCUCACAAUGAAUAUAAUAAUAGCAAUGGAAACCAUGGAUGCCCCCCAAAAAUAAUACUUUAAUCUAACCUUCAAGGGAAUAUACAGGGCCAACAGGAGCACAGGACACACACGGGUAGACAUAUAAUCUCCAACAAACAUAAACUGAAUGGACUAUGGCUAAUAAACAAAGGAUGAUUGGGAAAACAGAGGUGCAAGUAUUGACUAAAUAAAAGGAUACACGGCACACAUGGGGAGGAAAAACACAACACAAUGAGUCCAGUGGUGUAACAGUAGCCAUUUAAAGCUUUAUAAAUGCCAUCACUUUCUUUAAAAAACCACAGCAAUACAUUUUGUUUAACAGAUG